rnacentral:rRNA from 1 species
UAGAUGCGAGAGUAGAGCAUAUCAAUAAGCGGAGGAAAAGAAACUAACAAGGAUUCCCUUAGUAACGGCGAGUGAAGCGGGAAGAGCUCAAAUUUGAAAUCUUCAAGGUUCUACCUUGACGAAUUGUAGUUUAAAGAAGUGUUUUCUGUUAGAUGAGUAGCAAAAGUUCCUUGGAAUGGGACAUCAUAGAGGGUGAGAAUCCCGUAUUUGGUUAUUCAUUCUAGCUUUGUGAUACACUUUCAAAGAGUCGGAUUGUUUGGGAAUGCAGUCCAAAAUGGGUGGUAAAUUUCAUCUAAAGCUAAAUAUUGGCGAGAGACCGAUAGCGAACAAGUACCGUGAGGGAAAGAUGAAAAGAACUUUGAAAAGAGAGUUAAACAGUACGUGAAAUUGUCAAAAGGGAAGCGUUUGACACCAGUGUUGUUUUUCCGAAAAUCAAUUACGAAUGGCUUGAUUUUGUGUUGUAUUGACCUUAUCAGCUUUCUGCACUUUUUUUCGAGUCUUUCUUAAUGCACUUUUCGGUUAACAAGUCAACAUCAAUUUCUUUUGUUGUAAAAGAGUAUUCGGAAGGUGGCUUUCUUUUCGGAGAAAGUGUUUAUAGCCCUAUACUUCUACAAUCGGAGAGAUUGAGGUCUGCAGCGUAGAUCCUUCGGGGUUAGAUACACUUGUGCUAAGUUGUAGCUUUUCAUAGACAACUUGUUGACUAUGUUUAGUCAUGCGGCUUACUCGCUUGUGCUAUUUUACCUACGCUUAGGAUGUUGAGCGCAUGUCUCUCUCU